GUCCGCACGGACCACUUGUGUGCGCCCACCCUGAAGCAGUCGGCAACUCGGACCCCGGCGGCGCCCGGCAGGGUGAUUGCGCGUCGUCGGUCGGCCGAUUGGCGCGCACACGGGACUCGCCACUUUGACCGGCCCGAACCUGCGCCUGUGGGUUCUCACGUGCAAGGCAAAAAAAAGAUUUUGUUUCCAGGGCGCGACCAAUAAAGCGACCAAUAUGGUCCAAUAACC
rnacentral:lncRNA from 1 species